rnacentral:rRNA from 1 species
UACGGAGGAUCCAAGCGUUAUCCGGAUUUAUUGGGUUUAAAGGGUGCGUAGGCGGCCUGUUAAGUCAGGGGUGAAAGACGGUAGCUCAACUAUCGCAGUGCCCUUGAUACUGAUGGGCUUGAAUGGACUAGAGGUAGGCGGAAUGUGACAAGUAGCGGUGAAAUGCAUAGAUAUGUCACAGAACACCAAUUGCGAAGGCAGCUCGCUGGGACGUUACUGACGCUGAGACGCGAAAGCGUGGGGAGCAAACAGG